rnacentral:rRNA from 1 species
GCAAGUCGAACGGUAACAGGUCGCUGUGAUCUCUUCGGAGUGAACUUGACGCUGACGAGUGGCGGACGGGUGAGUAAUACUUAGGAAUCUACCCAGUAGCGGGGGACAACACGAGGAAACUCGUGCUAAUACCGCAUACGCCCUACGGGGGAAAGUGGAGGAUCUUCGGACUUCACACUAUUGGAUGAGCCUAAGUCGGAUUAGCUUGUUGGUGAGGUAAAGGCUCACCAAGGCAACGAUCCGUAGCUGGUCUGAGAGGACGAUC